rnacentral:rRNA from 1 species
GGUCACUGCUAUUGGGGUUCGGCUAAGCCAUGCGAGCGGAGGGCGCGGUCGAAAGAUCGUGGCCCCGCACACGGCUCAGUAACACGUAGUCAACCUACCCUUGGGACGGGGACAACCUCGGGAAACUGAGGCUAAUUCCCGAUAGGCGAGGGACGCUGGAAUGCCUCCUCGCCCAAAGCUCCGGCGCCCGAGGAUGGGACUGCGGCCUAUCAGGCUGUUGGUGGUGUGACGGACCACCAAACCUACGACGGGUACGGGCGAUGGGAGUCGGAGCCCGGAGAUGGGGACUGAGACAAGGCCCCAGGCCCUACGGGGCGCAGCAGGCGCGAAAACUCCGCAAUGCGCGCAAGCGUGACGGGGGGAUCCCAAGUGCCGUUGGUCUUUUGAUCGACGGCUUUUCGGAAGUCUAAGAAGCUUCCAGAAUAAGGGCUGGGCAAGACUGGUGCCAGCCGCCGCGGUAACACCAGCAGCCCAAGUGGUGACCACGAUUAUUGGGCCUAAAGCGCUCGUAGCCGGGUCAGCAAGUCCCUUGUGAAAUCGGGCCGCCUAACGGUUCGGCGUGCAAGGGGUACUGUUGGUCUUGAGGCCGGGAGAGGUCGGAGGUACUCCUGGGGUAGCGGUGAAAUGCUCUAAUCCUGGGGGGACCACCAGUGGCGAAGGCGUCCGACCAGAACGGACCUGACGGUGAGGGGCGAAGGCUAGGGGAGCGAACGGGAUUAGAUACCCCGGUAGUCCUAGCUGUAAAGCAUGCGGGCCAGGUGUCUAGUGCUCCUCGAGGGCACUAGGUGCCGGAGGGAAGCCGUUAAGCCCGCCGCCUGGGAAGUACGGCCGCAAGGCUGAAACU